rnacentral:rRNA from 1 species
GUGAGGAAUUUUCCGCAAUGGGCGAAAGCCUGACGGAGCAAUGCCGCGUGAAGGAUCAAGGCCUAUGGGUUGUAAACUUCUUUUCUCAGAAAAGAAUUAUGACGGUAUCUGAGGAAUAAGCAUCGGCUAACUCUGUGCCAGCAGCCGCGGUAAGACAGAGGAUGCAAGCGUUAUCCGGAAUGAUUGGGCGUAAAGCGUCUGUAGGUUGUUUAAAAAGUAUUCUGUCAAAGAUUAGGGCUUAACCCUAGAUAGGCAGAAUAAACUUUUAAGCUAGAGUUUGGUAGAGGCAGAGGGAAUUCCCGGUGGAGCGGUGAAAUGCGUAGAUAUCGGGAGGAACACCAAAGGCGAAGGCACUCUGCUGGGCCAAUACUAACACUGAGAGACGAAAGCGAGGGGAGCAAAUGGGAUUAGAAACCCCAGUAGUCC